UACGUAGGGUCCGAGCGUUGUCCGGAAUUAUUGGGCGUAAAGAGCUCGUAGGCGGUUUGUCGCGUCUGCUGUGAAAACUGGAGGCUCAACCUCCAGCCUGCAGUGGGUACGGGCAGACUAGAGUGCGGUAGGGGAGAAUGGAAUUCCUGGUGUAGCGGUGGAAUGCGCAGAUAUCAGGAGGAACACCGAUGGCGAAGGCAGUUCUCUGGGCCGUAACUGACGCUCAUGCACGAAAGCGUGGGGAGCAAACAGG
rnacentral:rRNA from 1 species